UAGCCAGCACCCCGAGUGGUCGGGAACGUUUAUUGGGCCUAAAGCAUCCGUAGCCGGUUCUACAAGUCUUCCGUUAAAUCCACCUGCUCAACAGAUGGGCUGCGGAAGAUACUAUGGAGCUAGGAGGCGGGAGAGGCAAGCGGUACUCGAUGGGUAGGGGUGAAAAUCCGUUGAUCCAUUGAAGACCACCAGUGGCGAAGGCGGCUUGCCAGAACGCGCUCG
rnacentral:rRNA from 1 species